AGACAGCAUGCAGCCUGAACCUUGCACGUUGCUUUUCUUUAGAUAUGAUCAUUGUUGAAUAAUGGCAUGCUAAAAAAAAAUUAAAAAGUGGCGCAGGUGAACUGGUUCUUCAGGUUGCAGUCCGUCUUCUAAGAAAACACUUUUUGUUGUAACUGUUACCAUCGUGACUGCUGGGACGCACCGUUUAGAUUGCCCGGUGGAAUUCCAUUCCUGAUCAAAUGUCGUGCCUCAAACAGGUGCAGGAUGUUUUUCCCAUGGGAGGUGGAUCCUGGCCAGGGGGGAGCGUGUUUUUUCCACGACGGCUUUGACGUUUUCCUGUAAAGCACGUGACCGUGCUCAGCACUCAUACCCACGUAGCGUCAAGACACUCCCUCGUCAAACGUUGGCACCAGCGCUGAGCGUGUUGCUAUUUAAAGAGCGUCAACACCUGGUUGCCCGCAGGUACUCUUCUUUGGUCUUUGUAAAGGGUUUGGGUGUGACUGCCCUCAACACAGCCGUUAUUAAAGUGGGCCAAACUAUGCCAGGAUUCUCGCUGGUGUAGUUUUCCACUGGAACUCAUCCAAGCCCUAAAAUUUCAAUCCAUUCAACCAUUUUGAACAUAAAAAUUCCAUGCAGAUUCUGUUCAAGUCAAGUGACAAUCAUUUUUGGCAUUAGCGUAACACGUGUCGACAUGUUUGCAGCCUUUAUGUCCUACAAAGGAGGACAAAUGACCAAUGUUGAGAAUUCCUGAAUAGAAAACAUUGUAGCACACGAGGUUGCCUUGUUGCCAAUUUGAAAGGAAAGUGGAGCCUUGAGAUAUGCGUGACCCUACUUCAGUUUAUUAUGAUGACAAAACACUUUGUCCACUACCUUUAUGCUAAUGCUAACACAUUAGAAAUACUUGACCCUUUAAUGAAUUGACAUUCAAUCCAACUCAGAGUUGUGUAUUUUUUUUUGUAAGUAGCUGAGGCUUCGAUAUUGGACAGCCAAAGUUAUUGUAUGUAAUUAAUACUAACACAAAAAAAUACUAAAAUUAAAAAAAAAAAAAUCUAUAGUCGGGAGACUGUAAAACAUGUUUUGGUCUUAUUCUGGAAUACAUCCGGAACAAAGUUCUUAUAAACUGGGAUAAAAUCUUACAUGGUUAGCAUUAUCGGACCAACUUGUUGAAUAUACACCAGGAAAUGCCAGGACUAUGUUGAGUGGGAGUGGGAGGAGGGGGAUUUUUUUUUUUUUUUUUUUGCACUGGAAUUCAAACAUUUCACAAUAGUUU